CUUAAUCUAGACAAAGAGAUUUAGGGUUUUGUAGUAACAAGAGAUCAGAAGUCUGAUGAAGCUUACAAGAGGACGAUGGAGAUCUGAGAGAGAGAGAGAGAGAGUGAGAGUGAGAGAGAUAGAUCCGAAUCAGAUCCAAAUAAUGAAGUAAGAAGAAGAAGGACUUGGGGGUGUGUGUCGUCGAGACGAGCCUCUCUCUCACGAAAGAAAAGGAGAAGGAGAAGGGAAAGGGCUCCACUGCUUGUAACCAGAGACAGACGGACAAUCCAAUCCUGAUCACUGGAUCAGAUUUUCUACACCUAACCCUUCCUUUUCUUCAUAUUGACUUUUUCUGGCCUUUUUUCUUUUGCAUUAUGGUCCUCUAUCUUUCUAUUACUUUUCACUUACGGCCACUAUUAACUUUUCUUUUCCGUUGCUACCGUUUUUUUUUUCGCAACUAAAAACUAUUUUAUUACUCGAAUUUUAAUAAGUAUAGAUAAUUAUGCCAGAAUAAAACAACUAAUAAAACAUAGAUCCUUAUAGAAAGACCUCACAGUCUUAGUUAAAUAUUCUAAAAUCUGAUUUUGCAUUCCUAGAAUAUGAAUGAUCUUGACAUUCGAAAAACAUAUCUUCU
rnacentral:lncRNA from 1 species